UAGGGAAUCUUCCACAAUGGGCGCAAGCCUGAUGGAGCAACACCGCGUGAGUGAAGAAGGGUUUCGGCUCGUAAAGCUCUGUUGUUAAAGAAGAACACGUAUGAGAGUAACUGUUCAUACGUUGACGGUAUUUAACCAGAAAGCCACGGCUAACUACGUGGCAG
rnacentral:rRNA from 1 species